AAAACACCUUGUAAAAUCAAAAACUAGAUCUCAUUCGUAUUUGUUCUUCUUCUCCUCUGUUUCUCGACCAGUUCUUCCUCUCUGCAACUAGAAAAAGAGUGGGUUUCCAUGAUAAUUCUUUUGAUUCUUCUUUUAUCACGACGAGUUAUUGAAGUUACUCACCAUGAAGACGGCUAUAAACAUUAAGAGUGAAGAAGAAUAGGAUUAUGAAUGGAUUUUGUGGUUAAGAAUAGCUUUGAUGGAGUUGUUGUUGUGGUUAAGAAUGAUUAGGCGGUGCUGCUUUGCUGUUGGUGGUGGUGGUGCUGCUUGUUGGUGGUGAGGAUGGGUAUUUAGAGUAACAGAUGGCUGAUUUAAUGAAGAUGGUAGUAAUUAUGUGGGAUGGAAGGAGCUGUUGUUGCAUCUUGAACUGGUGGUACUGUAGUUGGUUGAAGCACUGGUGCUGAUGAUGAUGCUUUUGCUACAAAAAUUGCAGGUCUCAGACUGGUAAUGCUAUUGGUAGAACUAUUGGUGUUGUAUGAGAUUGCAAUGGUUUGCUGAGAGAAUGGAACUGGUGAUGAUAAUUGUUGAUUGCAAUGGUGAUUAAUUUGAAAUGAUGAAGCUGUUGCUGGUGAAAUUGAGAAUCAGAUGAAGAAAUGGAGGUUUUGGUUGCUGCUGUUAGUUGUAGCUGAAUGUGUAGAACAGGGUAUGAGUUGUAGAGCUUGGUGUUGAACUGUGGUUGCAGAUGCAGAUGUUUGAAUGGCUUGGGUUGAGGCUUUGUGUAACAGAUGACUGAAGUAAUGGAGAAGAUGGCGCCGAAAAUUCAGCCCAGUUCAGGAUCGUGGCACCAUAUUCAAUCAAGGGUUCACCACUUCUUCUCUUGGGGUAUAGCGACCGCCAACACCACCACCACCACCAUCGCUAUCACCACUUCAUUAGCAUCACCUCAACAACUGAAGAGGGGUAUUUGGGACAAAACUCAUACCGUUUUUCCAAAAACAGUCAAGUCGGAUGGAGAAAGAUCUUUCUGUAAUCACUAAUUUAAAGUAUGAUUUUGUAAAACAAAUUAAGAAAGUGUGACUAUUCUGUAAAACACCCUAACAUAAAACAAAACCCGACACGUUCUUGAUAUUCUUCUCCA